rnacentral:rRNA from 1 species
AAGACCUUGCGCUUUUGGAGCGGCCGAKGCCUGAUUAGCUUGUUGGUAAGGUAAAAGCUUACCAAGGCUUCGAUCAGUAGCUGGUCUGAGAGGACGACCAGCCACACUGGGACUGAGACACGGCCCAGACUCCUACGGGAGGCAGCAGUGGGGAAUUUUGGACAAUGGGGGCAACCCUGAUCCAGCCAUGCCGCGUGAGUGAAGAAGGCCUUCGGGUUGUAAAGCUCUUUCAGCCGGAACGAAACGGUUACGGUUAACACCCGUGACUACUGACGGUACCGGAAGAAGAAGCACCGGCUAACUACGUGCCAGCAGCCGCGGUAAUACGUAGGGUGCGAGCGUUAAUCGGAAUUACUGGGCGUAAAGCGUGCGCAGGUGGUUUUGUAAGUCAGAUGUGAAAGCCCCGGGCUCAACCUGGGAACU